rnacentral:rRNA from 1 species
UACAGAGGUCUCAAGCGUUGUUCGGAUUCAUUGGGCGUAAAGGGUGUGUAGGUGGCGCCGUAAGUCGGUGUGAAAUUCGGAGCUUAACUCCGAAACUGCAUUCGAUACUGCGGUGCUUGAGGACUGGAGAGGAGACUGGAAUUCAUGGUGUAGCAGUGAAAUGCGUAGAGAUCAUGAGGAAGACCAGUGGCGAAGGCGGGUCUCUGGACAGUUCCUGACACUGAGACACGAAGGCCAGGGAGCAAACGGG